rnacentral:rRNA from 1 species
CCUACGGGACGCAGCAGUGGGGGAUAUUGCACAAUGGGGGAAACCCUGAUGCAGCAACGCCGCGUGAGUGAAGAAGGUCUUCGGAUUGUAAAGCUCUGUUCUUGGUGAAGAUAAUGACGGUAGCCAAGGAGAAAGCCCCGGCUAACUACGUGCCAGCAGCCGCGGUAAUACGUAGGGGGCAAGCGUUAUCCGGAUUUACUGGGUGUAAAGGGAGCGUAGACGGUGCAGCAAGUCUGAUGUGAAAGGUCGGGGCCCAACCCCGGGACUGCAUUGGAAACUGUUGAACUGGAGUACAGGAGAGGUAA